rnacentral:rRNA from 1 species
UACGAAGGGGGCUAGCGUUGUUCGGAAUCACUGGGCGUAAAGGGUGCGUAGGCGGCCGUGCAAGUCUGGCGUGAAAGCCCCGGGCUCAGCCCGGGAAGUGCGCUCGAAACUGCGCGGCUCGAGUGCCGGAGGGGAGAGUGGAAUUCCUGGUGUAGCGGUGAAAUGCGUAGAUAUCUGGAGGAACACCGGUGGCGAAGGCGACAUCCUGGACCGGUAUUGACGCUGAGGCGCGAAAGCCAGGGGAGCAAACGGG